UGAAGCUGAAAAUACAAAAAUUGAAUGUAUAUAUAUAUAUUGCGACUCUUUAAAUCAUGCAAGCGCUUUAAAUGUUUUAUAAUCCUACGAUAUUUUCGGUCAGAAUGUAUUUCACCGAGAUUUGAGCAAUAGCAGGAAUAUUUGCGAUAUUGACAUGAGAACUGAGUUGCAACUUCCGUUAAUUGUAAUAAAAGUGAUAUGCAAGAACGCAGUCACUCACUUGCUCCCACCGCCCAGGUGGCUGUAACUUCUGGAAUCCUCUCCCGCCGUGCUCAUCCAGCCAGCAGCCUUGCUGUUCAGAGGAAUGCAGCCCACAGCUGUCAUCAAUGUCAACACACCUGCACGGAAGCAUAAUGAGAAGCAGCUUAAUGCCAAAACAUACACUGAUAAUGAUGCGAUUCUAAGAUUUUGUAUAUGUGUCUCUCAUUAUAAUAAAAUCGUCUGCUAAAUAAAGAAGCAGACGAAUUUUACACUUGGUUUAA